rnacentral:pre_miRNA from 1 species
AAUAGAUGACUCCGUUGACUUUUUCUCACAUAUUUGACCAUUCAUCUUAUUUAAAAAAUUUACGUAAUUAUAAUUUAUUUUGUUAUGAGUUGUUUUAUAACUUAUAGUACUUUAAGUGUGAUUUAUAUCAUAUACAUUUGUAUAAAAUUUUUGAAUAAGACGAAUGGUCAAACGUAUGAGAAAAAGUCAAUGGCGUCAUGCCUU